ACCUGAAACUAAAGCCUGAGAGCAGUCGGGUUGGGAGCAGAGACAGGCCAGCAGGGCUCCAGCUGGUGGGGACCAUGUUUUGUAGCUCCUGCUCCCCAGCGGGCAGCCUGGGUUAUAUUUGAUUGAGCCAUCUUUAUAGUGCAGAGGCUGUCCCUCCCCACAUCAUCACUCUGACAUCAACAGCUUGCCAAAGGAGCUGGAAUGACUGUCAGAAGACACAGUGGUGACUCCACGGAGAACCUGUGGCUUCCCAACUGCUGCUGUGCCCACCAGCCCACGCUGCUUCUCUCAUCACCCCCUCAGCUGUUCCCACUCCGCAGGGACAGGCAGCCCAAGGGUAAAAGGCUGAGCUGGAAAAAGCAGAAGUGACAGCCCCCAGCCCCCACAGGGACCUGCCUGGUGUUAUUUGUUCGGAGAGGGGAAUGACAUGAUGCAUGUUUAAUUUGGGUUUAGCUCGGUCACGUGGAUGGUUUUCUCGUUACAGCAGGAACUGGGGUGCUAAAUGCCACUUUUAAGUAACAUAAUGAAUAGGAAAGUAAAAAACACUGGGUUUUAUUGCUGUUGGUGAUGAGAUUUUGUUCAUGAGAUCUUGUGGUGAUUCCUGGCUGUGGAAACUAUUCAGAUUAAAUGAUGUAAUCCAGUACAGAUGACUAAAGGCAAUUUCUGCCAUUUUCCAG